rnacentral:rRNA from 1 species
CUUGCUUCUCUUGAGAGCGGCGGACGGGUGAGUAAUGCCUAGGAAUCUGCCUGGUAGUGGGGGAUAACGUCCGGAAACGGACGCUAAUACCGCAUACGUCCUACGGGAGAAAGCAGGGGACCUUCGGGCCUUGCGCUAUCAGAUGAGCCUAGGUCGGAUUAGCUAGUUGGUGGGGUAAUGGCUCACCAAGGCGACAAUCCGUAACUGGUCUGAGAGGAUGAUCAGUCACACUGGAACUGAGACACGGUCCAAACUCCUACGGGAGGCAGCAGUGGGGAAUAUUGGACAAUGGGCGAAAGCCUGAUCCA